UACGGAAGGGGGCUAGCGUUGCUCGGAAUCACUGGGCGUAAAGCGCACGUAGGCGGCUUCUUAAGUCAGGGGUGAAAUCCUGGAGCUCAACUCCAGAACUGCCUUUGAUACUGAGAGCUUGAGUCCGGGAGAGGUGAGUGGAACUGCGAGUGUAGAGGUGAAAUUCGUAGAUAUUCGCAAGAACACCAGUGGCGAAGGCGGCUCACUGGCCCGGUACUGACGCUGAGGUGCGAAAGCGUGGGGAGCAAACAGG
rnacentral:rRNA from 1 species